rnacentral:hammerhead_ribozyme from 1 species
GUACUGUGAAGAGUCCCAAAUUGGGCGAAACAGCUGUCCAGUAC